GAUGAACGCUGGCGGCGUGCCUAAUACAUGCAAGUCGAGCGAACAGACGCGGAGCUUGCUCCUCUGUCGUUUGCGGCGGACGUGUGAGUAACACGUGGAUACCCUCCCUAUCUUCCUGGGAUACCUUCGGGACACCGGCUCUAAUCCCGGAUAAUAUCUUUAUCCGCAUGGUUCAAUAGUGAAUUACGGUUUUGCUUUCACUUAUAGCUUGUUCCCCGCCUCAUUAGCUAGUUGGUAAGGUAACCGCUUACCAAGGCAAUGAUGCGUAGCCUACCGGAGCAGGUGAUGGGGGACACUGGAAGUGAGACGCGGUACAGACACCUAGGGGAGGCAGAGGUAGGGAAGCGUGGGAAAUGGGCGAAAGACUGAAGGAGCAACGCAGCGUGAGUGAUGAAGGUCUGCGGAUCGGAAAACUCUGUUAUGAGGGAAGAACAAAUGUGUAAGUAACGAUGCACGACGUGACGGUACCUAAUGAGAAAGCAACGGCUAACUACGUG
rnacentral:rRNA from 1 species